ACUCAAAUGAAUAGACGGGGGCUCACACAAGCAGUGGAGCAUGUGGCUUAAUUCGAAGCAACGCGAAGAACCUUAUCCUGGAUUUGACUACUAUGGAUGCCCUCCGUGAAAGCGGAGUAAGCUGCCUUCGGGUGAAACAUAGAACAGGUGCUGCAUGGCUGUCGUCAGCUCGUGUCGUGAGAUGUCGGGUUAAGUCCCUUAACGAGCGAAACCCUUAUCGUUAGUUGCCAGCGCGUUAUGGCGGGAACUCUAGCGAGACUGCCGGUGUUAAACCGGAGGAAGGUGGGGAUGACGUCAAGUCCUCAUGGCCUUUAUGUCCAGGGCUGCACACGUGCUACAAUGCCGCGUACAAACCGACGCGAUACCGCGAGGUGGAGCAAAUCGGAGAAAGCGCGGCCCAGUUCGGAUUGAAGUCUGCAACUCGACUUCAUGAAGUUGGAAUUGCUAGUAAUCGCGGAUCAGCAUGCCGCGGUGAAUAUGUUCCUGAGCCUUGUACACACCGCCCGU
rnacentral:rRNA from 1 species